GGAGGCGCCCCCCAGACGCCAGGGCGUCGGCCUGCGUGAGAAGGACUUUGCACUCCGGCGUCGAGGCCCUCGGAGGACGCUCCUGCGGCGGCGGCCGAGUCGGUAGAGAGAAAUUUAUUUCUGGAGACUGGGAAGUCCAAGAUCAAAGUGCUGGCAGAUCCAGUGUCUGAUGCAGAUUUGGGCUGUGCCUUUGCUCCCUGGACCACCUCGACAAGUAAGCAUUCCCUGGGUUGGCUUCCCUCCCUUACCCGCCAUGGCAAGGAGGCAAGGAGAAGGCCAAGUCAGGCAGCGGGUUUCAUUCAGUCCUGCAGACUUCGAGUGGAGUUGCUCUCAUCAGGUGGCCCCUCCGGACAGCUGUGUGUGCCAUGGCUAACCAGGAACUUAGGAAGGUUGAAAGCUGCCAGUGUGUUGCAGGGUGCAAUGGUGCAAAAGGCAGCACCAUCCACUCACUACCAGGCCACGUGAGAGUUUUACGUUGCAUUUUCACAUCAGGACUGCCUGUAGGAUAACACCCAGUGGGUUUCUAUUGAAUACUGGAGAACAUUACCACAAUGCUUGUCCUUCCUUCUUUCUUUAAACAAACAUUCCAUUGGUAUUCAUUUGUGGACCAACUCACAAAUCUCCUACUCAAAACUUCUUCUCCUCUGCCCUUAAUGAUUGAAGUUCCCUAGAACUUGACGAUGAGGGGAGAGGAGAAAUUGAGAACGCUUUUUCAGAUGCCAAUAUUCCCUUUAAAGGGCUGGGUCCUUCAAACCUCCAUUUAUUUUGCCAGCAUCCCCUCCUGGCUAAGGUUAACCAAGAAAAAGAGCAAGAGUUGAUCCGCUCCUCCUUUUCAACUGACUUACAGCAAGUUUUCCAACUGGGCCCUGAGGAUUCUCGCUGGGGCCCAGAGGAGACAGCAGGCAGGGUUCGACUCUACCUCCCCUCAACCAGGGCAACCUUGUGUCCACCUGUUUUAUGUAGUGAGCUUUGGGGAUGAUUUCAUUGAAGAAAGGCUUUCCCUUCCUUAAAAUUAAAAAGUUUGAAAACUGUAGCAGUUUUCACCUCUUUUAACAUAUUUGCUGAGCAUCUUCUAUGUACCAGGCACUGUUCUAGGUAUUGGAGAUAUAUCAAAGCAGCACUUCGCUCCCAGGUCCUCCCUUAUAUAUGGUGGCAGCUUUUCCCCACACAUUCUUGUCCCGGCCUCCCAGGCCAACUAGAGGGCAAGGACUAGUGUCUUAUGUCUUUCAUUUCCUCCUCAGGGGACAGUAUUUGAACAGACCGUACUGAACACUGCAGUGGACAUUCUGACCCUACAUGGGAGUGUGCAGAGGGACAAGAGGAAACCCAGCUAGAAUAUGUCAUACCUUUGCCCUGGGUUGUUCACAGAGAGAGAGGGCAUGCAGAUAAUUAAGGGUUAACAGUCCUACACUUGGGAAGGACUGGUAACAGCUCUGGGAUGGAAGAAUCCAGUCAAAGCCAGGGAGCUGCAGUGAGGAAUGAGCGACACCGCCACACACACUCUCUCUCUCUCUCUCUCUCUCUCUCUCACACACACACACACACACACACACACACACACACACACACACACUCACACUAAGCAUGGAAGCUUGGCCAAAGCAUUUACUUGUUCUUUACUUGAGUUUCUCAUUUUAUAAACUGGAGAUGAUCCAUCGAUUAUGUAGUCCUUAGAGGAAAAAAAAUUAGGCAUGGUGGGCAUUAAAGACAUUGACAUGAAAAAGGCUGCCCUUGCUAUCUAGAGUAGCCAAAAAAUCCAAAGCUAAAAGAAACUUUACAGAUCAGCCCCGGUUUCACAAGUGAGGGAACCAAGGGCUAGAGAAGGCGAGCGACUUGCUGCAGGUCACAAUGGGAGUUUGUGACAGAGCCAAGAUUGGAAGCUAGGGCUCUUGCCUCUUUGUUUAAAGUUCUUUCCAUGUGACCAGAAAGCUUCCAAAGGACACAGAGCGUCUCCCAAAUAAAUAAGAAAUUAUUUCAGAUUUCCGAAUUACAAGAUUUGCCAUUCAACAAAUAUUUACUGAAGAGAUACUAGGUGCUAAUGGAGCUGGCAUUUGCGGGGCAAUAAGAGAAGGGUAGGUCAUGGUUUUUACCCUCCAGUAGCUAACUGAGGAAACAAGAGGCAAAGAUUUGAAACAGUUAAGUAAAAAUAACAAGCAGUAUGUGAGAAGUGCCAAAAUUGGGGGAACAGUGAGUCCAAGGGAGAGCUCAAAGGAGACAGAACGCAAUGCUUCCCAUCUCGUAGCAAAGGUUCCUUUAAGCUGAGUUGGAGAGGAUUUACAUAGAAAAGUUAAAGACCACCCCGAUGCUCAAAUCAAGGGGGUUCCCUUCACCCUGGGGGCCACUUGGCCGGGAGAAAGGAGAAGAAAUCCAAGUAAGCCAGGCUGGGCAAGGCCCAGGAAUUUGUAUUUUUAAAGGCCACCAUGUGAUUACCAUGCUCAGCCAGGUUUGAAGUUCACCCGUGUAAAGGGUAACGCAGAAUAGACUGGAUAAGGGCACCCCACUCCUCUCCCUAGCGCACCCAGCUUCUCUGGGGGUAGGCACCAAUAAAUCUUGUCUACAUUUUACUGAAGGGAAAACUGAGGGUCCAGAAACUUUCGAUGACGUGUUCCAGGUCAUUCAGUAAGUAGUGGGGACUCGGUUUCUUGCCAACCAGUAGAAACCGAAAGAUCAUAAUACACCAUCCCGAAGAAGAUUUUGCUUCAUUUCUCUGUAAGACAAGUCAGACCCGCUUGGUUAGCUAGAGAGUUCGUUGCCCAGAGUACAAAAAGGAGCAAGUCUCUGGAGCUGCCAGGUGUGUGGGACAGAGCCCAGGGCGACGGUAGUUGCUGGGAGAUCAGAGUUCUAACUUUGCUGUGUGACUCAGCCCAAGCCACUUCCCCUCUCUCUUUGUCCUUCACCUAUUAAUAACGAUGUCCCACGUCACGUUGGGAUAGCUACCAGUGAUGGAAAAUGCACAGCGCGGUUAGUUCCGAUGUGAUUCCUGGGAACAGAAGGGAUCCACAGCCAUCUGCCGACUGUUGUGAGUAAAAUAUGUGCUGGCUGCCUUCGGAGCAGAGGCAUUU